AUGCAUAAAAGGAAAGUACUUGGAAAAGGAAAUUUAAAACAUAAUAGCAUAAGCAAGAUAAAUAACAUUUUCAGCCACUUCCCGACAUGUCCUCUGCUUCGUCUUCUUCACCUUCACCACUUUCUUCAUCUUCCACGUCAUCUUCUUCUUCACCACUCUCUUGAUUUUCCUCUUGAACUUCUUUCUUUUGGGUUUGCUUAA